UACGGGGGGGGCAAGCGUUGUUCGGAAUUACUGGGCGUAAAGGGCGCGUAGGCGGCCUGCUAAGUCGGAUGUGAAAUCCCUCGGCUCAACCGAGGAACUGCAUCCGAUACUGGCGGGCUUGAAUCCGGGAGAGGGAUGUGGAAUUCCAGGUGUAGCGGUGAAAUGCGUAGAUAUCUGGAGGAACACCGGUGGCGAAGGCGGCUUCCUGGACCGACACUGACGCUGAGGCGCGAAAGCUAGGGGAGCAAACGGG
rnacentral:rRNA from 1 species